CUUAUCAAGAGAGGCUGAGGGAUAGGCCCUAUGACGCCCAGCAACCGCCCUAACGGGAAAAGGUGCUAAUUCCUACAAGAUUUUUUAAAAUCUUGAAAGAUGAGG
rnacentral:ncRNA from 1 species